UACGAAGGGGGCUAGCGUUGUUCGGAAUUAUUGGGUGUAAAGGGUGCGUAGGCGGCUUAUUAAGUCAGGGGUGAAAGACUGCAGCUCAACUGUAGCAGUGCCUUUGAUACUGAUGAGCUUGAGUACAGAUGAGGCUGGCGGAAUGGGUGGUGUAGCGGUGAAAUGCAUAGAUACCAUCCAGAACACCGAUUGCGAAGGCAGCCGGCUAAGCUGUAACUGACGCUGAGGCACGAAAGCGUGGGGAUCGAACAGG
rnacentral:rRNA from 1 species